rnacentral:tRNA from 1 species
ACCGAAAUAGCUCAGUUGGGAGAGCGUUAGACUAUAGAUCGAAAAGUCCCUGUUUCGAUCCCGGGAUUCCGCA